rnacentral:rRNA from 1 species
UGGGGAAUAUUGGACAAUGGGCGAAAGCCUGAUCCAGCCAUGCCGCGUGUGUGAAGAAGGUCUUCGGAUUGUAAAGCACUUUAAGUUGGGAGGAAGGUCAUUAACCUAAUACGUUAGUGUUUUGACGUUACCGACAGAAUAAGCACCGGCUAACUCUGUGCCAGCAGCCGCGGUAAUACAGAAGGUGCAAGCGUUAAUCGGAAUUACUGGGCGUAAAGCGCGCGUAGGUGGUUUGUUAAGUUGGAUGUGAAAUCCCCGGGCUCAACCUGGGAACUGCAUUCAAAACUGACUGACUAGAGUAUGGUAGAGGGUGGUGGAAUUUCCUGUGUAGCGGUGAAAUGCGUAGAUAUAGGAAGGAACACCAGUGGCGAAGGCGACCACCUGGACUAAUACUGACACUGAGGUGCGAAAGCGUGGGGAGCAAACA